UACGAAGGGGGCUAGCGUUGCUCGGAUUGACUGGGCGUAAAGGGCGCGUAGGCGGUUCGCACAGUCAGACGUGAAAUUCCUGGGCUCAACCUGGGGGCUGCGUUUGAUACGUGCGGACUUGAGUGCGGAAGAGGGUCGUGGAAUUCCCAGUGUAGAGGUGAAAUUCGUAGAUAUUGGGAAGAACACCGGUGGUGUAGACGGCUUUCUGGACCGUAACCGACGCUGAGACACGAAAGCGUGGGUAGCAAACAGG
rnacentral:rRNA from 1 species